UCGGGAAUCUUGCACAAUGGGCGAAAGCCUGAUGCAGCAACGCCGUGUGAGCGAGGAAGGCCUUCGGGUCGUAAAGCUCUGUUGUUGGGGACGAAGGGCGAAGGGUUAAUAGCCCCUAGCCUGACGGUACCCUCAGAGGAAGCACCGGCCAACUCCGUGCCAGCAGCCGCGGUAAGACGGAGGGUGCGAGCGUUGUUAGGAAUCAUUGGGCGUAACGCGCGCGCGGGGGGCCCACCAAGUCCGGGGUGAAAGGCCGGGGCCCAACCCCGCGCAGGGCCCGGGGAGACUGGUGGGCUGGAGGCAGGCAGGGGCGGGCGGAAUUCCGGGUGUAGCGGUGGAAUGCGUAGAGAUCCGGAAGAACACCGGGGGCGAAGGCGGCCCGCUGGGCCUGAAAGGCAGGCGACCCGUGGAGGGCGGCCCGCGAGGGCAGCCCUGCAGGGGACGCCGUAGCCUUGGACCUGACGCUGAGGCGCGAAGGCGUGGGGA
rnacentral:rRNA from 1 species